rnacentral:lncRNA from 1 species
CGCCCUGCAGUCUAUUAAUAACAUAGCUGAAUAAUGAUCCCCAUGCAGUCAGUAAGCUCUAGAUAGAUUUAAAGUCUAAGGUACGGACCAUUUGAUUUGAGGUGGCAGUCUGCGAUGUUUGAGAGAAACUAUUCUUAGCCUGAUUUUUGCCUUAAACAAAAAUUGAAUUGAUUGAAAACAAUAAUCUUGUCCACUUAUUUGCCAUUAGGAACAAAAAUUUCCAACAGAAAUAUUUAGCAUUAAAUGAUCAUGAUGAAUUAUAAACGGACGUAGUUUUUGGGGGGCCGGGGGUUUGCAUGUAAAUCCCAUAUCUGACCGGAAAGUCUGUUUCGCCGAACAGAUAUAUUGAACACUUUUUUCAAGGCCCGGCUACAACCAACCUGCUUCGUGUGGCCUUUAUCGACCAUAAUUCAUAAAUUCGUUGUCAUUUCAGACUCAUUCGUAUCCUUUGGUUGAGUUGGAACCCC